rnacentral:rRNA from 1 species
CAGAGGUCCCAAGCGUUGUUCGGAUUCACUGGGCGUAAAGGGUGCGUAGGUGGCGAGGUAAGUCGGAUGUGAAAUCUCCGAGCUCAACUCGGAAUGGCAUUGGAAACUACCUUGCUAGAGGGUCGGAGGGGGGACUGGAAUGCUUGGUGUAACAGUGAAAUGCGUAGAUAUCAAGCGGAACACCAGUGGCGAAGGCGAGUCCCUGGACGACUCCUGACACUGAGGCACGAAAGCUAGGGGAGCAAACAGGAUUAGAUACCCUGGUAGUCCUAGCCGUAAACGGUGCACGUUUGCUGUAAAAGGAAUCGACCCCUUUUGUGGCGUAGCCAACGCGUUAAACGUGCCGCCUGGGAAGUACGGUCGCAAGAUUA